rnacentral:lncRNA from 1 species
UAUAGGCUUUAGAAGACCAUGCUGUAGCAGGCGAGUGAUAACAGGCUUUAAUCCUUUUAAAGCAUGCCAUGGGAUGGGAUAUUGGCGUUGAUUGGAGUAAGGGUGAUUAGGUUUUAAUGGGAUGGUAAGGCGUGCAUGAUCGGUCACCAAGGAGGGAGUAGAGGUGUCCCAUACUUGUGGAUUAAGGUGGGGAGAUACAAGGGGAGGAUGCGAAGAAGGCUUCGAACUGGGGAAAAGGGCAGCAAUGAGGUGUGGCUGUAGCCCAGGGAUAGUCAGGGAAGCAGAUAAUUUGGUUAACGUGUCUUCACCUAAUAAGGGAGCUGGGCAGGUGGGGAUAACUAAAACAGAGUGCAUAAAAGAAUGCUGUCCAAGUUGGCACCAGAGUUGGGGAGUUUUAAGAGGUUUAGAAGCCUGGCUGUCGAUACCCUCAACAGUUAUGGAGGCAAGGGAAACACGCCCUUGAAAAGAAGGUAAUGUGGAGUGGGUAGCCUCCAUAUUGAUUAAGAAGGGGAUGGACUUACCCUCCACUGUAAGUCACCCAAAGCGUCUGUGAUGGUCCUGUAGGCUUCCAAGGCGAUCGGGCAGUGUCAGUCUUCAGCCACUAAGCUGAGAAGAUCUGGGAAGAAGUCAGUCAGAGAGCCUUAGGCCAGAGUUCCAGGUGCGCUGGGAGUGGCUGCCGGGCGAGUUGGACAGUCCGAUUUCCAGUGGGGUCCCACACAGAUGGGACGUGGCUUAGGAGGAAUCCCAGGCUAUGGGCAUUCCUUGGCCCAGUGGCCAGAUUUCCGGCACUUGAAGCAAGAUCCUGGGAGAGGCAGUCCUGGAGGAAUGCCUGGCCCCUGCGGUUUAGGCGUUUGGAAGUUCUUGUGUGCUGGAGAUGUGGCUGGGGUUUCUCUCACAGCGGAGGCAAGUAAUUGCAACUCUUCUCUAUUAUUGUACACCUUGAAGGCGAGGUCAGUUAAGUCCUGUUGUGGGUUGAGGGCCAGAAUCUAAUUUUUGGAGCUUUUUCUAAUGUCGGGAGUGGGUUUGGUAAUAAAAUGCAUAUUGAGAAUAAGACAGCCUUCUGGCCCCUCUGGGUCUAGGGUGGUAAAGCAUCUAAGAGUUGUUGCCAAACAGGCCAUGGACUGGGCUGGGUUUUCAUAUUUGAUGAAAAAGAGCCUAAACGCUAACUGAUUUGGGAGAGGUCGGAUAAAGAAAAAGGAGCAUUAACCUUGGCUAUGCCUUCAGCUCCAGCCACCUCUCUAAGAGGAAAUUGUUGGGCAGGUUGGGGAGGGCUAGUCGCAGAACGAAACUGUAAGCCAGAUCGGGUGUGAGGAGGGGAGGUAAUAGAAGGGUUCUACGGUGGGGGAGUGGAGGCUGAAGAAGAGUUGGGACUGGUGAGGAGCAGCCUGGGGAGGAGGGAAGAGGUCACAUGGAUCUGUAGAAAAGGAGGAUUCACAGGACUUAGAGCUUGGGGUGGAGACUGAAGGAACAGACAGGAGAGAAAGAAGAAAGAUUUGGGACGAGUCGCAUUGGGAGCAGAGACUAGGGAGGGGCCAAUGUGUAAAAGAAUGGCUGGACGUCAGGCACCUCAGACCAUUUGCCCAUUUUUUGACAAAAAUUAUCUAGAUCUUAUAAAAUGGAGAAAUCAAAAGUGCCGUUUUCUGGCUAUUUAGAACUGUUAUCGAGUUUGUAUUGGGGUCAAGCAGUAUUGCAGAAGAAAAUAAGGCAUUUAAGUUUUAGGUCAGGUGUGAGUUGAAGAGCUUUUAAGUUCUUGAGAACACAGGCUAAGGGAGGAGAAGGGGGAAUGGAGGGCGGAAGUUUGCCCUAAGUGAAGGAGGUAAGUUUAAAGAGAAAAGUAGAGACACAGAGAAGAGGGGCGGUGAGUAGUCAAAGCAGGUGUUCCCGCAAUUGACUUGCCACCAAGGGAAUGUGGGUGAAUGACCAAGGCAGGCAUUCCCGCAGUGAUCAGACACCAAUGGAGUGUUGGUGAAUAAUCAGGCAGGCGUCCCUGCAGUGAUUAUACACCAAGGGAAGACUGUCCUCCCGAGUCCGUGACCGGCACUGGAGUUUUGGGUCCAUGGAUAAAAUGUGUCUCCUUGUCUCUACUAGAGAGGAAAAAGAACUGGAAUUGGAAGGACAGGGAGAUUAAAGGGUAGCGAGAGAGGAAGAUUGUGAAGGGUAGUGAGAGAGGAAGAUUGAAGGGUAGCGAGAGAGGCUGGUGAGGAGUGAAAAGACCGCUUAUCUGAUUUGAAAUUGGUGAGAUGUUCCUUGGGUUGGUUGGUCUGAGGACCCGAGGUUGUAGGUGGAUCUCCUCACGGAGUGAGGGCAAGGACAGGGGACCGGUCUCCUGAAGGAGUCCUCCUGUCCCGGGUCUUCAGCACCACAUGUCACGUGCAGCCGUGUGAAGAGACCACUAAACAGGCUUUGUGUGAGCAACAAAGCUGUUUAUUUCACCUGGGU